ACUAUUUUGGCAGAGAAAAUGUAAUGGUUUUAGAAAUCAUGAAUGUAUAAUUUAUUAUAUGGAUAGUA
rnacentral:tRNA from 1 species